CCAUGGGUGUUGGAUUUGCCUUCGGUGACCUUACCAUCUCUCCGCGUAAAUUGCUAUUUUACAUCAAAGCAGUCCUUUACUUGAAGCCACCAGCUCCCUCAUAACUGGAAGUUAAAAGAUAGUAACAACAGCUGAAUCAGAACACAAGAGCUUAAUUCAAUCUGCUAUAUGAAUUAUUUGACCUGGGCCAGUUCCAAAGAAAUAAAUGUAAAAAAGGACCAAAAUAAACCAAGCUAAUUCAAUUAA